rnacentral:pre_miRNA from 1 species
UUUCUACUCCCUCCGUCCAAAAAUACUUGUCAUCAAAAUGUAUAAAAAGAGAUGUAUCUAAAACUAAAAUACGUCUAGAUACAUUUCCUUUUAUCCAUUUUGAUGACAAGUAUUUCCGGACGGAGGGAGUAUUUG